CCCCCCCCCCCGAAAUAAGGCUACGGAAAGAGUUCAUCCCCUUUUUUUCUUUGAUAUCUAUUUGGGAAAUUUAUGUAGUUAUUAAUUCUGUUUGACAGUGGAGAAGGGGCGAGGGAGAAUUUAUCUGUGUAUAGUGGCAGCUGUUUGGGUGACCAAGCCAACCACAGGGCAAUUGCUGCUGUGCUCUGGUUUGACUGUAUUUACCAGCUCAAGCUGAGGGGACUUGCUCCUGAGGUCUCAAGUGGCAGGAUAUCUAGCCUGGUAAAGCACAGACACCCCAAGGGAAGCUGAGCCAGAGUAAGAAGCAUUUAGCAUUAUGUUCUGGGGAGUACAUUUAACUGUUUGUGCUUUAUUACGUAAGUAAGGACUAUCUGUGUUGGGAAACUGUGCAAGCGGUAAAACAGACCACUCAUGGAGUGAGGAUAUGUGCAAGAGCUGCUUGGGAGGACCAGAGACUUUAACCUGAAAACAUAGUUAUGACUGCAAAGUCUCUAACACCAGAAGAGGUGCCAGGCGCAGAGUGCUGAAACUCAGCUCAGUGCUGUAAAGCUCGGAGGAUGGCAGGUUUGUUGCUUGUUUUGCAUCACGGCAGCGUGGCAGUCCUCCAGCAGGUGUGUGCUAACUACAUUUCUAGCACCCUGAAUGCUUUGCUGUUAGCUUGUGCUUUUCGCUACGCCUGUUCUGUCUCUAAAUUAAUGUGUCGACUGAAGACAGGGACUAAAGAUGGUGAAUCACCUGGCACACUUGGAAUCUCAUCCCUGGUAGAGGCCUUGGGACUCUACGAGAGUGCAAAUGAACUACAAUGCCUGUAAUAACUAAGGACCAAGCCUAUUCCCACUGAACUCAGUCAUGCGCCUGUUCCACUCCCGUCUGAGGAAGCAUCUUCUAGAGAUACCGCCCCCGUGCUGUGCCAGCCCUGCCGAACAACGUUCAAAGGGAAAACGGGACUGCUCAGAUAGAGGUCCAUGCCAGGAGGUGCAGUGAAGGCUCAGGCUGUACAUUACUAGAAAACAGAUUAUUCCAUUGAAGAAGCCAUUUCCCCUGGUUGAACAUCAUACAUUUGCAGCAUAAUUUAGUUUGGAAAUGACCUCUGCCAGUCAUCUACUCCAGACCUCUCUUCCAAAGAGGGCUGCCUUCAAAGCCAAAUCAGGGUGCUCAGGGUCUCAUCCAGUCAUGUUUUUAAGAUCUCCAGGAGUGGAGAUUUUGUAUGUGCAUUCGAGAACUUAACUACUCUUACUGUGAUUUUAUUUCUCUAACAUCCUACUGGAAUUUUCCCUCAUUACAAUGUGCAACUGUUGCAUCUUGUCUUUUAUGUACCGAUAAGAAGAAUCUGGUGCCUUUUCUCUAAAAAUGUACUUAAGGUGGUUGAAGAUAGCACUUGUAUCAUCAUUCAACCUUCUCUUCUCCAGGCCAAAAGAAACAUAUCACAGUGCACGUCUACUUGAAAAUAUUGCCGAAAAAAUUUUCCUCUUGCUGAAAAAAGGUAUGCAGUCUCCACAAAUCUUGUUAUGCUAACUUCCAUCUGUUGGAUACUCGUUGUGUGAGGAGGUUCGCCCUUGAUGAGUUUAGGUCAGAUUUCCUAUGGUCCACAUAGUUCCUGUAACUUAUCCUGAAUGAAUAAAAAAGUAAGAUAACUGCAAAUGGUGGUGCCUGUUAUAAAUAUCCAAUGGCUUAAAAACAUAACUUAUCUCGGAUGUGAAUAGGUCCCAGUGGACAAUUCUGAUAGGUGGUUCCUGCCAGCACGUCAACCAGAUGCCUCUACUCUAAAAUGCCAAAACCUCUGAACCCCUUGCCAAACAUACCUUUACCCACGUGAAAGCCCCUACAUGGGAUACGCUAAGAAUGUGAGUUUGAAAGCUUAGUGUCCUUGCUAUAUCUCAGAAGCUGCAAGGGUUGGAGUGUCCCAGUACUUUUCAAACCAGUGUUGCUGGCUGUUGUAUAAAUGCAUGAAUUAAUUCUCUCCUAGAUCUUUAUUAGCAGCUUUCAUAAAGCAUUCCAUACUCACCACAGCCCGAUUAAAUUCCCUGCGACAAUUACAAGAAUUUGCCUUCUGGUGAGACUAAUUCAUGCAAGAGGUUUAAUGAGUGUUUUUCCCCUCCCUGCAGAUCUGUGCUUAAAAAUCCUCUCUCAUGCUGAUAUAAAAACACAGUUGCAGAUUAUAUCUUUAAAGAUACAGUUAUGUUAGUGUGUGUUGCAGGACUGCGCCUCCUAUCAAGCUGGUAAUGAAUUCAUCACUGUUUACUGUUAAAUGAAUGGUCUGAUUAUUUUUCAAUGCAUUGCAUUACAUACAUUUGCAAUUCCAUUUUCAGCAAGGCUCUAUUGGAAAAUGUAGUGAUAUGAAAAAAAAUUAUUCUCCUGUUCUGCUCUCAUUUAAGAGUAAAUGUACUGUUAUCUUGCAUUUUUUUCAUUUAAUGCUGUGUAGACUAGCCAUCUGCUCUAGUCACUGCCUUCAUUACCAGCAAACAGGAGAAUUUAUUUUUAGGUUCAUAGUGUACAGUGUUCAUACAUUGAUGCUGAUCCUUAGUGCAUGUUUAAAUAAUUAGCUCUUCCAUGUAACUUAUUAUGAAAAAGUAUUCAGAACAACAGAAGGAAAGCAUAAAUAAACUAUCCUUCUUAUUUGAGGAAAAUUCAUGGUGUUACAUUGUAAGCCUCUUUACUAACUGCCUAGUGAAGCUGUUAAUGCUCGAGGCAUUUAAAGCUCAAGGAAUCCUCAGAAACAUGAGUGAGUCAUCAAAUUAUUCUUCAUUGCCUCUUAACCAGCUGAAACAGUCAUCAGCCACAUAAUAUUAAACAAAUACUGUGCUACUGAUUUUGCAUGUGAUUGUAUACGCUAUCAGUGUGCCCUCAUAAUAUUUCACUGAGAUACAGAAUUCUCUCUUUAAUGACUAAUUUUGGGUGGCUUUUUUUCCUUGAUUGUCUUGAGACAUUGUAAUCAUAUGUAGUUCUUCAAAAGACACACAUUCACCAUAGUCUUAAAAUCCAGAUCUCUUAAAAGGCUUGAAGUAACAAAAAAUGGAGAUACUCCAAAUCGUCAGUCAUUGGUAAAUAAGGUGCUUGUGGCUAUAAUGUGGGAGGUUGUGGUUGGUGUUCUGGUUAGGGUGUUAGUUAUGUAGUCAUGUGAUAUCUGUAAAAUAACUGACUUAUGACACAUUUUAAAUUAUUGGUAAAGAGAUGGCUAAUUAUGUUCAUACAGCAUGUAAGCUGUUUGCCCUUGCAAAGCAUAGGACAAGUCAUGGUGAAAAACCUUUCUACCUGCAUAUUUUCUGUAAUACUUAUCUGUUGUCCGUCAACUGCUGUUUUAGACUUUGGUGCACUUGUGUGUGUGUGUGGGGGGGUAUAUCAUGCCCAAUACAUGAGCAAUAAAUCAUAAUUUUAAUUAAAAAGUAAAAUAAAGUCAUUGCAUUUUUAUCUUAAA